CUGUUAUCACCAGUGGGCGAUGCUAAUUAUUCUCAGAACUGAGGCUCUGGCAUACGAGGGGAAAAGGAAUGCAAAGGAAAGUAAACAGAGGUUGAAACAAAAAUAAAACACUGUUUGUUUCAGACCAUUGCAAGGGCACUCCACCCUCAUGAAAACCAGAGAUACACAGAAUUCUUCAUCCAUUCCUCUUUGCCUCUGAGGUGGUGACACCUAUUCCCCCUUCCCUGGGAAAGAAAGUCUCUACAAGAUUAGGUGCAUUCUUUCCAACUGAAGCCAGACAAGGCAGUCCUUUGCAGGAGGUCAGACCAGUGCUGCAGGGCAGUGAUGAGACUCAAUGAAGAUGUUCCAAUAACCGCAUGGAUUUGGCAGACCCUAGCGAUACUCAUAAUUAGGUCAAAACAUUUCUUCUCCCAUGUUCAAAACUGUAUUAUUUAAUAAUGGGUAUUGAUGUGAAGAAAUUCUGAAACUUAAAUUUAACUGAUUCUAUUUACAUAAAAAGUAAUUUUCAAACAUGUUGAAAGAUGUGUGCAACUAUGCCAAAAGUGAUAAAACUAGAUUUCAAGCUAGCAUUUAUAUUAUUAAUUGGGAGACUUUCCUUGGUUUUUUGUUUGUUUGUUUGUUUUUGUUUUUGUCUUGUUUUUUGUUUGUUUGUUUUUAAAUCAUGGAACUGGUAUUGCUUCAGGCUGACUUCCUGCUCAUGGCAAUGGUUGAAUGUAGACCCAGAGUGUGUUACAUUUCAAUCUGUUCUCUAACCCUUUCUUCACCGCCCCACCCAGCACCCCAUCUAAGGCUCUUGUUCAAUAGUCUGUUUCAGAUGCAGGAAAGUCAAUAGCUUUUGAAGUUCAAAAUAAACAAAGUAGAUACAGUGUUCAUUAUUCCACAGCUUUCUUGAAACCUUUCUAGGAUAGAUUUCAAGAUCAUUAAAUGCAGUGCCAGCACAAUUUGUUCAGAUCUUAAUGGAAUUUUGGACUGAGCCCAAUAAAAUAAUAAACUUAUUUUUGUUGUUUUUCUCCCCUGUG
rnacentral:sRNA from 1 species